UGGUAUUAGAGUAAUAUAGUGGUAUUAGAGUAAUAUAGUGGUAUUACAGUAAUAUAUCCUAUAUUGAGGUACAGUAAUAUAGUGGUAGAGAGGGAGGGAGAGGGAGACAGAGAGGGCAACAGAGAUGGAGAGAGGGAGGCAGAGAGGGAAGGAGGCAGAGAGGGAAGGAGGCAAACAGGGAGUGAGGGAGACAGGAAGGGAUCAAGUCAGGCAGGGAGAGAGGGAGACAGGCAGAGGGAGGCAGGGAGGGAGACAGGCAGAGGGAGGAAGAGAGACAGACAGGGAGACAGGGAGAGAGGCAGGGAGGGAGACAGGCAGAGGGAGGCAGAGAGACAGACAGGGAGACAGGCAGAGGGAGGCAGGGAGGGAGACAGGCAGAGGGAGGCAGAGAGACAGACAGGGAGACAGGGGGAGAGGUAGCAGGAAGGCUGGGAGGCACACGGAUAGCCAGGGAGGGAGGCUCGGCUAGCUACUCAGCUGAGCAGGCAGUAAGACAGGGCUAGCUACUCAACACGGCAGGCAGUAAGGCAGGGCUAGCUACUCAGCAGGGCAGGCAGUAAGCCAGGGCUAGCUACUCAGCAGGGCAGGCAGUAAGCCAGGGCUAGCUACUCAGCAGGGCAGGCAGUAAGGCAGGGCUAGCUACUCAGCAGGGCAGGCAGUAAGACAGGGCUUGCUACUCAGCUGGGCAGGCAGUAAGGCAGGGCUAGCUACUCAGCAGGGCAGGCAGUAAGACAGGGCUAGCUACUCAGCAGGGCAGGCAGUAAGACAGGGCUAGCUACUCAGCAGGGCAGGCAGUAAGGCAGGGCUAGCUACUCAGCAGGGCAGGCAGUAAGGCAGGGCUAGCUACUCAGCAGGGCAGGCAGGCAGUAAGGCAGGGCUAGCUACUCAGCUGGACAGGCAGUAAGGCAGGGCUAGCUGCUCAACAGGGCAGGCAGUAAGGCAGGGCUAGCUACUCAGCUGGACAGGCAGUAAGGCAGGGCUAGCUACUCAGCAGGGCAGGCAGUAAGACAGGGCUAACUACUCAGCAGGGCAGGCAGUAAGGCAGGGCUAGCUACUCAGCAGGGCAGGCAGUAAGACAGGGCUAGCUACUCAGCAGGGCAGGCAGGAGGGCAGGGCUAGCUACUCAGCAGGGCAGGCAGUUAGGCAGGGCUAGCUACUCAGCAGGGCAGGCAGUAAGACAGGGCUAGCUACUCAGCAGGGCAGGCAGUAAGACAGGGCUAGCUACUCAGCAGGGCAGGCAGUAAGACAGGGCUAGCUACUCAGCAGGGCAGGCAGUAAGACGGGGCUAGCUACUCAGCAGGGCAGGCAGUAAGACAGGGCUAGCUACUCAGCAGGGCAGGCAGUAAGGCAGGGCUAGCUACUCAGCAGGGCAGGCAGUAAGACAGGGCUAGCUACUCAGCAG
rnacentral:lncRNA from 1 species